GGCUGGUCCGAUGGCAGUGGGUUAUCAGAACUUAUUAACAUUAGUGUCACUAAAGCUGGUAUACCCCCCCCCACUGCUAAAUGUGACUGGCUUAAA
ensembl:misc_RNA Y_RNA Y RNA